AUUGAACGCUGGCGGCAGGCCUAACACAUGCAAGUCGAGCGGGUGAAGGGAGCUUGCUCCUCGAUUCAGCGGCGGACGGGUGAGUAAUGCCUAGGAAUCUGCCUGGUAGUGGGGGAUAACGUCCGGAAACGGGCGCUAAUACCGCAUACGUCCUGAGGGAGAAAGUGGGGGAUCUUCGGACCUCACGCUAUCAGAUGAGCCUAGGUCGGAUUAGCUAGUUGGUGGGGUAAAGGCCUACCAAGGCGACGAUCCGUAACUGGUCUGAGAGGAUGAUCAGUCACACUGGAACUGAGACACGGUCCAGACUCCUACGGGAGGCAGCAGUGGGGAAUAUUGGACAAUGGGCGAAAGCCUGAUCCAGCCAUGCCGCGUGUGUGAAGAAGGUCUUCGGAUUGUAAAGCACUUUAAGUUGGGAGGAAGGGCAGUAAGUUAAUACCUUGCUGUUUUGACGUUACCAACAGAAUAAGCACCGGCUAACUUCGUG
rnacentral:rRNA from 1 species